GAUGAAGAACGUAGCGAAAUGCGAUACGUAGUGUGAAUUGCAGAAUUCAGUGAAUCAUCGAAUCUUUGAACGCACAUUGCACCCCUCGGUAUUCCGGGAGGUAUGCCUGUUCGAGCGUCAUUUGUACCCUCAAGCUCUGCUUGGUGUUGGGUGUUUGUUCCGCCUCUGUGUGUGAACUCGCCUCAAAACAAUUGGCAGCCGGCGUACUUGUUUCGGAGCGCAGCACAUUUUGCGAUCCAGAUCAACGUACAGCGGCAUCCAAGAAGCCUUAUUUAACGCUCUUGACCUCGGAUCAGGUAGGGAUACCCGCUGAACUUAAGCAUAUCAAUAAGCGGAGGA
rnacentral:misc_RNA from 1 species